rnacentral:rRNA from 1 species
GACGAACGCUGGCGGCGUGCCUAACACAUGCAAGUCGAGCGAUGAAGCUCCUUCGGGAGUGGAUUAGCGGCGGACGGGUGAGUAACACGUGGGUAACCUGCCUCAUAGAGAGGGAUAGCCUUCCGAAAGGAAGAUUAAUACCUCAUAAGAUUGUAGUUUCGCAUGAAACGGCAAUAAAAGGAGCAAUCCGCUAUGAGAUGGACCCGCGUCGCAUUAGCUAGUUGGUAAGGUAAUGGCUUACCAAGGCGACGAUGCGUAGCCGACCUGAGAGGGUGAUCGGCCAAAUCUGGAGUGCGACACGGCCCAGACGCAUACGGGAGGCAGCAGUGGGGAAUAUUGCACAAUGGGGUAACCCCUGAUGCAGCAACUCCGCGUGAGUGAUGACGGUAUUCGGAUUGUAAAACUCUGUCUUUGGGGACGAUAAUGACGGUACCCAAAGAGGAAGCCACGGCUAACUACGUGCCAGCCGCCGCCGUAACAC